GGCCUGGCGGGGCCCGGGGAGCCUCAGCACGCGCCCCUCGACGGGGCGGCCAGGGCAGGCGUCUGCCGCCCUACACGCCUAGCUCAGGCUGCCCGCCCAAGGUGCUGCUUAUCCGCGGGCUGGAGAAGCCGGGACCCGGGGUCCCCCGCCCGAGAGGGCGCAGAGCAGGAGUUGCAGCCGCACGGUGCAGCUGUACUCGCGCUCCAGACUCCUGCUGCUGCCGCUCAUCAACCUGCUCAGCAUCUUCCCGCCCGCUCGCCCGUCCUCGGGAGCGACGCGGCGGCGCUGCGGACUCCGGACUCGUCGCCCCUCAGCGCGGCAGCUCCGCGCCGGCCCUUAGCACCUGCACCAUCCCCCUGGCCGGAUCGCCACCGCUGCCUCCUCCCGCCCCACUCUUCUUCCUUCUACAGAGCCACCACCGCCUCCCCCAAACCCCAAGCAAGCUGGGUUCUCUCCCGGGCGCCCCACUGCCCGUGCCCAGCUCAUGGGGCGGGGCCUAGGUAGGGGGCCAAUGGAGGUCAGCGCGGCGGAACCGAUUAGCAGGAGGAAGAGCCAAUCAGGAUAAGGAAUGGGUAUGAUGAGCGGGCGGAGGAAGCAAUCAGCGCAAAACAGCAGUACUGAGCCCAGUCGGACCAGCCCCCUAGCGCCCCAAGCCCUGGCUCGCUCCCUUCGCGGGCGGUGGUUGGUAUGGAUGCUGUUUGUCCUGGGCCGGGCCAUGUGUGGACACUUCACAAGAUCGGUGUCUACAACCUGGAAUAACAUGUGAGCUGUUUCAGGAAUCAAGUCUUGCACCCUGCAACAUCGGGUUUCUGCCCUCUUGGAAGCAAAGCGAGGAGGCGGCACCUGCAGAAAACAGUCACCCACGAUUCCCGACCUGGCGGCUGCCCCCACCUGUGCGCUGCCCUAAGUCAGCUCCAUGGGCCCCUGUGCCUCUAGCUCCCUUAUAUUGGGGAACAUCUGUUUUACAAUAGCUAUUUGCUCUGGUGCAACCACAGGAGCUUGCAAAGCGCCCGCGAUUAGCGCUUAGAAAAUCCUACUCUCUAACCCUUCUUUUAUUUUCAGAAGACAAAAGGAGGCUGAGGUGUGCUUCUUAGCUGGGCAAGGAACAGGAAGUGGUGGACCUUUCCUUGUACUUUUAGAAAGAAUUAUUACAUCUUCAGACUUCUGCAACAAAGCACAACGGUCAGGAGCUGUAUAGCACAAAGAACCGGAGGGGGGAAAAUGCCUCCUUUCCUUUGUGUCCUCCGCAUCAGCAGACUUAAAGUUCCUUCCCAGAACUUCACUAAGAGACAGUCACCUUCAAAGGUUUUCUUACUAAUAAUAUCAAUGUGUGUCCGUGCAUGGCAUAUGAACACUCAGGUGCCACGCACGAGCGUGAAGGUCAGAGGACAACUUGGUGGAAUCAGUUCUUUCCUCCCACCUUUAUGUGGGUUUCCGUGAUUAAACUCGGGUGGCCAGACUGGCCUGGCAAGCACCUGUACCGUCUAAGCUAUCCCACUGGCUCUACCUUCAAAGAUUUCAGUGAGAGGAAAUGUUAAAAAGGAAUUUGAUUGGAAUAGGGGUGUAACUCAAUGGUAGAGCCCUUUCCUAGCAGGUGACAAGAUCCAGCACUGAAACAAUGUCAAUACAAAACAUUAGUGCUAUGAGAAAUAUAUUCGCUUAAAAUAAUGAA